rnacentral:rRNA from 1 species
GAUGAACGCUGGCGGCGUGCCUAAUACAUGCAAGUCGAGCGAACAGACGAGGAGCUUGCUCCUCUGACGUUAGCGGCGGACGGGUGAGUAACACGUGGAUAACCUACCUAUAAGACUGGGAUAACUUCGGGAAACCGGAGCUAAUACCGGAUAAUAUAUUGAACCGCAUGGUUCAAUAGUGAAAGACGGUUUUGCGGUCACUUAUAGAUGGAUCCGCGCCGCAUUAGCUAGUUGGUAAGGUAACGGCUUACCAAGGCAACGAUGCGUAGCCGACCUGAGAGGGUGAUCGGCCACACUGGAACUGAGACACGGUCAAGACUCCUACGGGAGGCAGCAGUAGGGAAUCGUCCGCAACGGGCGAAAGCCUGACGGAGCAACGCCGAGUGAGUGAUGAAGGUCUUCGGAUCGUAAAACUCUGUUAUUAGGGAAGAACAAAUGUGUAAGUAACUAUGCACGUCUUGACGGUACCUAAUCAGAAAGCCACGGCUAACUACGUG